UGUGGGGGUGCGCUGGGGCGUUCGGUGAGAGGGAAGAAGAGAUUUAACCCGAGCUGGUCACACCAUGACUGGGCUCUCUCCGAGCGGUCCCCGAGGGGGCACCCAGUGUCAUACCAGCCUCCACACCGGGCCGCUUGUGCAGGAGGAGUGAGACGUUAGCUCCACAUGUCCCGGUUGUGGCUCAGACGUUCUGCCACACGUGUGUGCACAGAAAACCAGCCCCCAUCCGUCAUCCCACCCGGAGACCAGCGCAACCCUGCGCACUCCAGCCUUCCUAAAUCCUUGGUUACCUUCGUGAAAGUCAGGGCCAGAACGGGCGAGGAGAGCCCCUGGCAGGGCCCCCAGGGCAUGCCUGCAGGGCUGGCUCUGGCCAGGUCUCUGUACCCAGCAGGUGGAACAGGAGAGGUGCUGUGGCCAGCGCCCAGCGCCCUGGGCACCCUGGGCUUGCGGCUGGGAACCCAGGGGCCACCGGCUGGCCUUGGGGCGGGUCCUGGCCUUGGGGUGGGUUUAAAAAGCUUUUCCCUGAGGAGGGACGCACUCACCAAGGGCAUGGUGGGGCCGUUCCAGCCGCCCAGCCGGCGCCUGGCCACCAUGCCCGGCUCCCGUGGAACUGCCAUCCUGACGAGGGCAGCAUGUGUCUGUCUCACCAGCUCUCUGUCCUUACUUAAGUGGCAUCUUGCUCUCAUGAAGUGAUGUGGCCUUUCCCCAUCGCGAUGACAUCUGCCCACAUCCUCUGUUGUGUGAGCAUGUGCUCACACUCACGUGUCUGGUGCCCUCACAGGCCUGUGGCUGAGAGAGGUGUCGGGGCUGGGGCUGGGCCGCGGGCUGCGGGAGGAGACCACAGGGUUGUGUGGUCCCAGUCUGGGGGCGUAGCACGAGGGUCACUUCCUCCUCGAUGGCGACAUCUUUUCCCUCCAGGCUGCCGGCUCCUCCUGGGGCCCUACUGGGCCCAGCAAGUGGCCCCCACCGCCUGACCUCUCCUCCUGCAUCCGCUCCCCAACGCCUGUCCCAGGAUCCCCUUGGCCUUUGAGGGGACCUGCGGUCAGCGGGGCGCAGCCGUAGCCCCUGCUGUCUGCCGAGCCCCUUUGCCCACUGCCGAGGGUGCCCCCGGCUCCAGUGGUCAGUGCUGGACAUCUCUGGGAGUGUUAUUCCAUCUCCACCACUGUUUUCCCAUGUUCAGCCACUGCCAGCAGGCAGCUGCAAACGUCUCCAGGGGUCACUUGGGGGAGAUGGACCCUGGGCAUUGCCUGGUGCAGGCACCCAGCUCUGGGGAGGUGAGUGCUGAGCUUUGCGGAGCUGCUGGGAGCCAGGCAGGCUAGGUGCCCCCUGCCCUGGGCCGUCACUCUGUGGGGAAGCGGGGGGCCCGGAGGGGAAGGGGGCAGAGGAGGCUGGCCUCCGCCCUGCACGACCACCAUUCCGGCCCCUCCGGUUCCCAGGGAACCAAGUGUGGCCACCAUCAGCUGGGUGGGGCAACGUUACCGCUGGCCCAGCAGCCCUGGCCCUGCUGUGGUUGUCGGGCUGGGAGCGCUCGCCUUCUGCUGGCUUAGAGAUCAUGACGAGAGAGAGACUGAGAAGUGGAGAGAGGGACCCUGGUCAGGGGCCUGCCCAGAGGCUCAGGUGCAGAGACCCUGAUGGGCAGACGGUGGGCGGGGCUGGCCCUGACUCCGCGCGCAUGAGCCGUCCCCCCAAGGGCAGUUGUGGGGUCACCUCAUGACGGGGGCACGGCCGACAGAAGUGUGAGUGCCUGGGGGUGCAGCUGAGCCAACAAGUCGGACAGGGGACCCCCAAUGCAACAGGUGAUGGAGUUCAUGGCAAUGAGACAUAGGAGAGCCAGACGGAGCCGGAAGAAGCCUCUGCUCCCCGCUUUGCUGAUGGACUGUGGACGUCUCCUCGAGGGCAGCACCUGUGCCCUCCCUGCGUGGACAGGGUGCCCGUGCUCGGAGCUCGAGUGUGGGUUCCUGGCAUCCCCAGGGCAGAGAGGCCUGCUCGGGCAGAUUUCUUUCCAGGAGGGGUGUCACCAGCCAGCAGGGACUUCCAGUCCUGGAGGGCCUGUCCCCUUGCCUCCCCUGCCCCCGCCCGCCUGCCGCCCCCUUUCCUUGGGUGCUAUCCCCCACCUGGGCCCCCUGACCCUGUACACAGGGGCAGAGCUAGAAGGGGGGUGUCCUAAGCAUCAGAUGCAGGUGACCCGGGGCCGCAGGGUGGGUCUGUGGCGAUAGCAGAACCAGAGCUUCCUGAGGACACUGGCAGGCACGGCCAUCCCCUGGGCAGGUUCGAAGACAGGGGCCUGGAGGGCCCCCUGCUCCCUGUGUCGGGGCCCUGACCCCCCACUGGGCCUGCAGGGAGGUGAUGAAGGUGAAGAGGAGUCAUGGGUGGGAUGGGGUCUGGGCCUACAAGAUUAGCAUCCUCUCGAGGGGAGAGAGAUUCCAGGGCAUGCAGGGGCGGGCAACGAGGUGGGGCUGGGAGGGCCGGCCGGCUGGGGCAGAGGCCUGGGGGUCUGCGAGCACAUGAGCACCCUGGCCUGGGAGCUGCGGGGCCUGUCCUCCCAGCUGUCUGCCUGCGGAGGGCGUGGGCUCCUCGCCGGCUGAGCCAGGACCGUGGGCUGCGGCUGAGGGCCGGGGCACGUGGUGUGGGGAGCACCCACUUCAAGCUCUGCUCAACUGGGUUCUCCUGCUUCUUAUGCUGAGGCCUCCGCUCCCGGGAAAGGGGGGGGAGUUGGAAGGAGAGAUCUGAGUAUUUUUUAAUUAUUUAAAAUUUUCUUUUUAAAAGCGGAUGCUGUUCAAUAAUUUCCUCUAGAUCCUGCUGUUUCCUACACAGAAACUUAGAGGCCAAGGGAAGUGUUGGAAAGAAAGCAAAUUCAGCAACAGUGAAUUUUCAGUGACUCAGUCCAGUGAGCCCCAUCCAGAGUCCAGCCCAGACAGGGGUUUCAUCGAGUAUUUGGCACCAGGGACCUGCCACUGUGUUCACACUGGAGGCAAAAGCAGAUGGAAUCUUGACGGCCACUCGGUCCAACCUUGGUGCGUCCAGGCGGAGGCCGGCCUCUCAGUCCCGGUGCCCAGCCUUUGUGCUGAGCCGCCCUCUGUCCCACUGGGGCCUUGUCUGUCCGCGUCUGCACACCUCCUUCCUACUUCCACGCCCCUGACUGUAGGUGAGCAGGAUGUCAGCGGCAUGGCAUGUUGUCCCUGCCCGUAAACCCAUCAAUCCCAGCGGGCACCACCUGCAGGAAGGCAGCAGUGAGUCCUGCUAAGCCCGAGGGCUCCCGGCUGUGUGGCCGGGGCCUGGUCCCCGCUGGUUCGGACAUGCCCCUCACUGGGCGUGCAGGGAAAGCUUGUCCCCUGCAGCGUGCAUUCUAGAGGCAGGAACGACACUGCCUUGGCUCUUUUUGGGUCCCUUGAAGUUUCAUGUGAAUAUUAAAUCAGUUUCUCAUGUUUUAAACUCUAUCAAUCAGCUGGAUUCUGACCAGAACUGAACCAGAUCUGUAGCUGAGUUUGGGGAGAAUCGUCAUCGUAGCAACACCGUGUCUUCUGACCUGUGAUCCUGGGAUACUUUUCAUUUAUUUAGACCUUUAAUUUCCUUCAACAGUGUUCUAUAGGCUUCAGGAUGUUUUGCUUUUUUUGGUUAAACAGAUUCCUAAUUAUCCCCUCCCCCUCUUUUGCAAAUUCCAGGGUGGUCAGAACUCUGUUCACCCCCUCACCUUUUGGAGACUUCUCCCGAACUGAAAUUCCAUGCCUGUUUUUCACGCGGCUAGUGCUGUCGCUAAUGCCCCGUGGUGACUAAGCACUCGCUGUCUGUAAGCCUCCCGCUUGUGGGGCCUCGUUUGAUCUUCACAAAAACCUCCGUGGGGGGCACUUUCACCACCUUUGUUUUACAGACGAGCCGUUGGGUGAGCUGCUCGACUGUCCACACUUGACCAGGUCUGGCCCGAAGCUGCCCCUGGUGUGCACCUGCCCUGCUCGGGGCUCCGCGCCUGCAGGAGAAAGAAGAGGCAUGGACAUAUCUUAGGCCUCCUUGGCAACUUGUUCUUUAAUCAAAACAUCACAACUUGUGACUCUCUUGAUUAGGUCCCUCUGGCAGGGGCCCCCUGACUCCCUGCCUUGUCCCUGAUUUUUUAUUUAAUUUUUUCCCACUCUUCUGAUUUCUGGGUCAGAGACUUUGAGACUCAUUCUUGCUUCAGAUGGGCUCGGAGCUUCCGCCCGGCGUGAGGAAUGGGGAGUCCAGAGGGGCAGUUGGGGCCCCCACAGUGCGGCGAGGGGCCUGAUCACCAUCAUCCUUGACCUCUCUUGAACCCUAAUCCCUGCUGAGCCAAGGGCUAAAGGUCACGUUCUAAACUUACCUGGCUGGGCUCACCCCGGAGAGGCUGUCCUGGGUAGUCGUGGGAAGCGGGCCCAGGCUCCGAGCAUCGGCUUGUCUCGGGAGGACAGGCUCUGGGGCCCCGGAUCUUGAUGCAGGAGGCUCCCCCCACGCCCAGGGUGGGCGCUGAGAAAGGGGAAGAGGGAGGACAAUGCCGGGAGCCGGCAUAUUGCAUAUUGAGUGCAUAUUGCAUAUUGAGUGCAGCACUUUUCAGGAUCUGGAAUAGCUCAACUGGAAAUUCUAUCACUGCCGGUAGCCAGCGUGAGGAACUCCGCCCAUGACAAAGGUCAUGAGGAAGGAGGCUCGGCAUACGCAAAGGCGGGAUCGAGCUUCAGGAGUCCCCCUGGAAAUUCUCGAGCAUAUACCCCCAAAACCAGAGUCUGCCUACUUUCUGCUUUGUGCUUUCACCUACACCUCUGACUUUACGG
ensembl:lncRNA